AUAGCAUUAUACCGUGAAACUGCGAAUGGCUCAUUAAAUCAGUUAUCGUUUAUUUGAUAAUACCUUACUACUUGGAUAACCGUGGUAAUUCUAGAGCUAAUACAUGCUGAAAAUCCCGACUUCGGAAGGGAUGUGUUUAUUAGAUAAAAAACCAAUGCCCUUCGGGGCUUUUUGGUGAUUCAUGAUAACUUUACGGAUCGCAUAGCCUUGCGCUGGCGACGGUUCAUUCAAAUUUCUGCCCUAUCAACUUUCGAUGGUAAGGUAUUGGCUUACCAUGGUUUCAACGGGUAACGGGGAAUUAGGGUUCGAUUCCGGAGAGGGAGCCUGAGAAACGGCUACCACAUCCAAGGAAGGCAGCAGGCGCGCAAAUUACCCAAUCCCGACACGGGGAGGUAGUGACAAUAAAUACUGAUACAGGGCUCUUUUGGGUCUUGUAAUUGGAAUGAGUACAAUUUAAACCUCUUAACGAGGAACAAUUGGAGGGCAAGUCUGGUGCCAGCAGCCGCGGUAAUUCCAGCUCCAAUAGCGUAUAUUAAAGUUGUUGCAGUUAAAAAGCUCGUAGUUGAAACUUGGGCCUGGCUGGCGGGUCCGCCUCACCGCGUGCACUCGUCCGGCCGGGCCUUCCUUCUGAAGAACCUCAUGCCCUUCACUGGGCGUGCUGGGGAAUCAGGACUUUUACUUUGAAAAAAUUAGAGUGUUCAAAGCAGGCCUUUGCUCGAAUACGUUAGCAUGGAAUAAUAAAAUAGGGCGUGCGUUUCUAUUUUGUUGGUUUCUAGAGACGCCGCAAUGAUUAACAGGAACAGUCGGGGGCAUCAGUAUUCAGUUGUCAGAGGUGAAAUUCUUGGAUUUACUGAAGACUAACUACUGCGAAAGCAUUUGCCAAGGAUGUUUUCAUUAAUCAGUGAACGAAAGUUAGGGGAUCGAAGACGAUCAGAUACCGUCGUAGUCUUAACCGUAAACUAUGCCGACUAGGGAUCGGGCGAUGUUCUUUUUCUGACUCGCUCGGCACCUUACGAGAAAUCAAAGUUUUUGGGU
rnacentral:rRNA from 1 species